GCAGAAAUCCUUUGUCCUCCAAGUAGGACACUACUUGCCCAGCCAUGGCAGAUGGUGUGGGGCAGACUCCAUCCUUCUCUUGUAUUUCUAUCUCACAAUUCAAAGGUGGUUCAUAAGGAUCAUCUAUACCAGUAAAACCUUUAAUCUUUCCAGCACGUGCAAGCUUGUAGAGGCCUUUAGCAUCUCUUGACUCACACAAUGACAGAGACAUGUUCAUGAAAACCUCGAUGAAAUUUGCAUCUGCCAACAUUGCACGGCAAGCAUCCCGGUCUUUUCCGUAUGGUGAUAUUAGACUAGCAAUGCAUAUCAAACCAGCAUCUGCAAAGAGUUUUGCCACUUCACCAACUCUGCGGAUAUUUUCAGUUCGAUCUUCGGCACUGAAACCCAGGCCUUUGUUCAGUCCAUGGCGUAAGUUAUCUCCAUCAAGAACAUAAGACAGCUUCCCCCUAGAGUGCAGUUCUCUGCUUAGAGAGCAUGCCAGUGUGCUUUUCCCUGAUCCACUAAGCCCCGUUAUCCACACAACACAUCCCUUUUGGUUAAGUAGUUUAUGCCUCUCAGUCUUCCCAACUGGGCAUUCGUGCCAAAAUAUAUUAGAAGAGUUUGCCAAAGUAGACAUAGGAGAUUCUUUUUCUUGAUUUCACUCUCUACGAACAAACAAUGCAAUCAACAACAGCCCCGAGAAAGGCUUGAAA
rnacentral:misc_RNA from 1 species